rnacentral:lncRNA from 1 species
ACUUUGUGGCUUGACUUUGCAGCCACGUCUUCCAAAGGCCUGUUGUCUUCUCACCCCAGCACCCGCAGGACGUCUGCAGGGAAGCUACGUUGCCUCCCUGAGGGCCUGCAGGCCUGCUGUGAUCCAGCACCGUCAUAGCCAGCUCAUCUUUUGUUGUUGUGGGAAGGGCCCACAGAAGCCAACAGUUUUGGUGGAACUCCGAUCGGACAGUAGAUGCUUCUUAUUCCUUGUUAUGAACUACAAAUGCCCCGACCUCGUGUUUAUGAUCGCCAACAGUCACUUGUGCAUUUCUGUCUCCACUAAUGCAUGGUGUGGCUAAUUGGGUUUGUGAAAAAGGUCACUUCCAUCUUUUUUUUUUUUAAUGAAUGGUUUAGUUUAUUAUUACAGUGGAGUGUUGACAAGCAUGGCAGAGACUAAAAAUAUAGUUCCUUUUCAAAAUAAAAUAUUCAGCAUUUUGACUGGCUGCAGAUUUAUUUGGCAGUAAUUUCUUGGUUAAAAUUCCCUGAGGUUUCUUUAUAUGGCUAUUUUGGUUCUUUAUUUUAAGUAUAUCAGCAUUUUUCCACAGCUUCAAGCUAUUCUCAUCUCAGCAUGUAGGAAGUUAAUAGGCAGCACAGAAGCUUGUUACUCCAAUUCCAGUAAAAACAUAAUUGGCUCAAGCAGCUAAGAUACCAGCACCAUCCUUUCUGCUACCUUGAAGGACCAGCAAGAAUGGCCACAAACUCAAACUCAUCACAACAAUCAGGCCCAUUCCAGGCAGUGCCCAUGAAUAUGGAAUAAGGACCAGCAAAAAUGGCCACAAACUCAAACUCAUCACAACAAUCAGGCCCAUUCCAGGCAGUGCCCAUGAAUAUGGAAUAAGGACCGCUUGGAAUUUUGUUUUUUAGUCUCAAAACUUUGUAAGAUUUUUUAACGAUAUGCAUAAUAGGAAUGCAAUUCCAUUUAAGGUGGAUGCCCACCUAGAUACACAACAUAUUCCAGUGGUACCACCAUUCUUCGAAACAUCUGUGAAAUUUCUGUUUUGGAAUCGCUUUCAGAUAUAGUUUAUGGAGAAAUACAUCAGAAAAUUAGUCUCGUUCAUUUCUAAUCACAUAUGAAUCAGAUUAAAAAGUUAGAUUACUCAACUUAUUUACCAGACUGGGCACCAGAUGCCUUUUGCAUUUUCUAAAUAGCAGAUUCUCUCGCAAAACCAAAGUUUGCCACCAAUAAAUCUUUCAAACCACAUGCCUUGGUCUAGGAUAGGAAUUCCAAUAAGAUAAUUCCAAAAGGGAUUAGAUUAAUGGUAGAAUCAUUGGAAUAAGUGUACAGUCUUCCAAUCUAACAACUCUGAACUGGGCAUUUGGAUCCGUAAGAUCAGGCACACUUAAAAAAAAAAAAA